GCCGAAGUGGUGGAAUUGGUAGACACGCACGCUUGAGGGGCGUGUGGCUUACGGUCGUGCGAGUUCGAGUCUCGCCUUCGGCACCA
rnacentral:tRNA from 2 species